GUGGGGAAUAUUGGACAAUGGGCGAAAGCCUGAUCCAGCAAUGCCGCGUGAGUGAUGAAGGCCCUAGGGUUGUAAAGCUCUUUUACCCGGGAUGAUAAUGACAGUACCGGGAGAAUAAGCUCCGGCUAACUCCGUGCCAGCAGCCGCGGUAAUACGGAGGGAGCUAGCGUUGUUCGGAAUUACUGGGCGUAAAGCGCGCGUAGGCGGUUUUCCAAGUCAGGGGUGAAAGCCCGGGGCUCAACCCCGGAAUAGCCCUUGAAACUGGAAGACUAGAAUCUUGGAGAGGUCAGUGGAAUUCCGAGUGUAGAGGUGAAAUUCGUAGAUAUUCGGAAGAACACCAGUGGCGAAGGCGACUGACUGGACAAGUAUUGACGCUGAGGUGCGAAAGCGUGGGGAGCAAACAGGAUUAGAUACCCCUGUAGUCC
rnacentral:rRNA from 1 species